GACAGAGGGUGCGAACGUUGUUCGGAAUUACUGGGCGUAAAGCGCAUGUAGGCGGCAGCGCAAGUCGGGCGUGAAAUCCCACGGCUCAACCGUGGAAGUGCACUCGAAACUGCGCAGCUAGAGUCCUGGAGAGGAAGGUGGAAUGGCUUGGUGUAGAGGUGAAAUUCGAUAGAUAUCAAGCGGAACACCGGUGGCGAAGGCGGCCUC
rnacentral:rRNA from 1 species